rnacentral:misc_RNA from 1 species
GAAAUGCGAUAAGUAGUGUGAAUUGCAGAAUUCAGUGAAUCAUCGAAUCUUUGAACGCACAUUGCGCCCCUAGGUAUUCCUUGGGGCAUGCCUGUUCGAGCGUCAUUUCAACCCUCAAGCCUAGCUUGGUAGUGGGUGCUUGUUCUGCUAAUGCAGCGGACUCACCUCAAAAUCAUAGUUUAUCCAUCUACAGCCCGCAUCUGCAGGCCGUGAGCGUAGUAAAAACGCGCCUCGGACCAGCCGAUCGGACCCCAUGUUGACCUCGGAUCAGGUAGGGAUACCCGCUGAACUUAAGC